GACGAACGCUGGCGGCGUGCUUAACACAUGCAAGUCGAACGGAAAGGCCCUGCUUUUGUGGGGUGCUCGAGUGGCGAACGGGUGAGUAACACGUGAGUAACCUGCCCUUGACUUUGGGAUAACUUCAGGAAACUGGGGCUAAUACCGGAUAGGAGCUCCUGCUGCAUGGUGGGGGUUGGAAAGUUUCGGCGGUUGGGGAUGGACUCGCGGCUUAUCAGCUUGUUGGUGGGGUAGUGGCUUACCAAGGCUUUGACGGGUAGCCGGCCUGAGAGGGUGACCGGCCACAUUGGGACUGAGAUACGGCCCAGACUCCUACGGGAGGCAGCAGGGGGGAAUAUGGCACAAUGGGCGGAAGCCGGAUGCAGCAACGCCGCGUGCGGGAUGACGGCCUUCGGGUUGUAAACCGCUUUCGCCGGUGACGAAGCGGGAGUGACGGUAAGGGGUAAAGAAGCACCGGCUAACUACGUG
rnacentral:rRNA from 1 species